CCUACGGGAGGCAGCAGUAGGGAAUCUUCCACAAUGGGCGAAAGCCUGAUGGAGCAACGCCGCGUGGGUGAAGAAGGUCUUCGGAUCGUAAAACCCUGUUGUUAGAGAAGAAAGUGCGUGAGAGUAACUGUUCACGUUUCGACGGUAUCUAACCAGAAAGCCACGGCUAACUACGUGCCAGCAGCCGCGGUAAUACGUAGGUGGCAAGCGUUAUCCGGUUUUAUUGGGCGUAAAGGGAACGCAGGCGGUCUUUUAAGUCUGAUGUGAAAGCCUUCGGCUUAACCGGAGUAGUGCAUUGGAGACUGGGAGACGUGAGUGCAGAAGAGGAGAGUGGAACUCCAUGUGUAGCGGUGAAAUGCGUAGAUAUAUGGAAGAACACCAAUGGCGAAAGCGGCUCUCUGGUCUGUAACUGACGCUGAGGUUCGAAAGCGUGGGUAGCAAACAGGAUUAGAUACCCCUGUAGUC
rnacentral:rRNA from 1 species